UUGAUUAGAAGAGAGGAAAAUGGAGCUGAAUGUCUAAAUAUCAAUAUUGGAUCAAAGACGACCUUCCUGCCUAACCAACUCCAGCUCCACCUGGAAGAUGUGAAGGAAUUAGAAGCUUUCAAUAAACUUUCUGUUUUAACAACAAAAUGCAUUAUCAUCACUACUUCUCAAGUUACGUUACUAGACAACAUUUCUGGAAUGGAAUUUUCUCCCAAACUUAUUUUUAUCAUACAAGAUUUAGCUAGAAAAAAUGAAGAAAA